rnacentral:rRNA from 1 species
GACGAACGCUGGCGGCGUGCCUAAUACAUGCAAGUAGAACGCACAGUUUAUACCGUAGCUUGCUACACCAUAAACUGUGAGUUGCGAACGGGUGAGUAACGCGUAGGUAACCUGCCUGGUAGCGGGGGAUAACUAUUGGAAACGAUAGCUAAUACCGCAUAAUAUUUAUUAUUGCAUGAUAAUUGAUUGAAAGAUGCUAUUGCAUCACUACCAGAUGGACCUGCGUUGUAUUAGCUAGUAGGUGAGGUAACGGCUCACCUAGGCGAGGAUACAUAGCCGACCUGAGAGGGUGAUCGGCCACACUGGGACGGAGACACGGCCCAGACGCCUACGGGAGGCAGCAGUAGGGAAUCUUCGGCAAUGGACGAAAGUCUGACCGAGCAACGCGGCGUGAGUGAAGAAGGUUUUCGGAUCGUAAAGCUCUGUUGUAAGAGAAGAACGGGUGUGAGAGUGGAAAGUUCACACUGUGACGGUAUCUUACCAGAAAGGGACGGCUAACUACGUG